CAGACCCAGCAGAGGCUCUGUGGUCCCACCUGGAAAGGUUUCCUGAGCGUGUGAGGCACCACAAUCGCGAAAAGGAGGCGUGGCGUUUUGUUCUGAGCGUGGAAGUUGGUUUUUGGCCAUGCUUUUUGCAGCUGAGAUUUGCUGUGAUGGUCGUUUUUCUCUUCUUUUUUUGGGGAGACAGGGGAAGAGGAUGCAGCCUGAGUGGG